AUUUAAGUAAUUUAAAAUAAAAUAUUGAUUUGUGGCAUCAAAAAUAUAAAAUAUUAUCUUAAAUU
rnacentral:tRNA from 1 species